rnacentral:rRNA from 1 species
UACGUAGGGAGCAAGCGUUGUCCGGAAUCAUUGGGCGUAAAGCGCGCGUAGGUGGCCAUUUAAGUCCGCUGUGAAAGUCAAAGGCUCAACCUUUGAAAGCCGGUGGAUACUGGGUGGCUAGAGUACGGAAGAGGCGAGUGGAAUUCUUGGUGUAGCGGUGAAAUGCGUAGAUAUCGAGAGGAACACCAGUGGCGAAGGCGAGUCCCUGGACAACACCUGACACUGAGGCACGAAAGCUAGGGGAGCAAACAGG